rnacentral:tRNA from 1 species
AUUCUUUUAGUAUGAUUUAGUACAACUGACUUCCAAUCAGACAGACCUGGAUACAACCCAGGAAAGAAUA